AUUGAACGCUGGCGGCAGGCUUAACACAUGCAAGUCGAGCGAGCGGCGGACGGGUGAGUAAUGUCUGGGAACCUGCCUGAUGGAGGGGGAUAACUACUGGAAACGGUAGCUAAUACCGCAUACCAUCAUAUGUGCCCAGCUGGGAGUAGCUAGUAGGUGGGGUAAUGGCUCAUCUAGGCGACGAUCCCUAGCUGGUCUGAGAGGAUGACCAGCCACGCGGGAACUGGGACACGGCCCAGACUCCUACGGGAGGCAGCAGUGGGGAAUAUUGCACAAUGGGCGCAAGCCUGAUGCAGCCAUGCCGCGUGUGUGAGGAGGGCCUUCGGGUUGUAAAGCACUUUCAGCGGGGAGGCGUUACUCGAAGAAGAAGCACCGGCUAACUCCGUGCCAGCAGCCGCGGUAAUUC
rnacentral:rRNA from 1 species